CAAUUUAAUUUUGGCUUCCUGCUGUCGGCCCUGUUCCAAAAUGAAUUGAGUGCCUUUGUUUUUCAGCUGCACAGUGGAUGAUGCGGCUAUCUACCAGGCUUCAGCCAGUAACAGCAAAGGCAUUGUCUCCUGCUCUGGGGUUCUGGAGGUAGGCACCAUGAGUGAGUUCAAGAUUCACCAGAGAUUCUUUGCCAAACUGAAACAGAAAGCAGAGAACAAGAGGAGGGAGUUGGACGAGAGCAGGAGGAGAGGCAAAGAGAGCAUCCAGAAGGAGCCUCGUGAACAACAGCCUCUCCGGUGCAGCCCAAUCCCCCCUCUGAGGAAGCGUCACACCCAAAUCCCUCCCUUUUCACCAUUGGAUGGGAAGGAGGACCCAUUCAGUCGGGGGGGAGCGACUGCAGGGCAGCCAGCAACUGCUGUUACAGAACCUAACUGGGUUAGUGAUGAAGUCAUUGAACUGCCUGCAGGGAGCAAGAUUCAUAACAAUGAUUUUGACAACAUGAAUAUUGUUACCCCGAAGCCCCCAACCCCAGAAACUGUUGCCAAAAAGAAGAUGAAGAUCUCAAAUGGGGUAGAUUCCGAUGUUGUCAGCAGUAACAGCAGUCAUACAGGAUCCAGCUCCAAUGAAAAUUCAUAUGACGGAGGGAUGAGUUUGGCACAAUUUUUGUCAGAGGCUCUUCAUUCACAGACUGAUGAAGAAAAGAUUGCUGCACAAGGGGAUGGCACUGCGACAGAGGAGACAAUGGAUCCAACGUUUGCUGUUUCUAAACCAGAUGCAGAGAAAGGGAUAGAGGAGAAGUGGAGAGAGAGGGCGGACAGAGAAAGGAUGUUUGGAAAAGAACAGGAAAGAGAAAAAAUGAUAGAGAAAGGAAUAUCAUAUGAAAUAGAAAAAGAACGAGCCAGAGAAGUCGAUCAGUUGCAAAGGAAAACAGCACAUAACGCUUCCUCAGAUGUCAAAACUGAGGCAAAGAUACACACCCACGAUUACCAUGACCAUCACCCCAUUCAAGAAACUCUUUCCAAUGUGCUCCACUCAGUCAAAGAUUUUUUCUUUGGUAAGAGUAAGAAGGAUAACCCUUCUCUUGAUCAUCAUGUGAAAGCUCAGGAGAAAGGUCAUCCAAUUACCCCAUCACAACCAUUUGUGCAUCAAAAUCCCCAUCCACGGGAGCUAGAUACUCAACUGGAGGUGUAUCAAACCAUCACGGACAAGACUGUAUCCAUGGACGUAGAUGAGCCACAGAAAGCCCAGAUAGCUGUGAUACCACAGCAGCAACCGCUGCCCUUGGAGCAGUGGAACCCAACAGAACACAAACAUGGAAUUACAGUUUCACACUCAGAAAAAAAACAUUUAGCACCCCAAACGGCACUAGAGAGUGGGCUUGAUUCACUGGAGCAUGCAGAGCGGACGGCCUUGAACGUGUGUCUGGAGGUGAUCAAAAAUAAUACAGAGAAAGGACCAACAUCUGGCCCUCCAGCCCUCUAUGGGGCUGCCGAGGACCAGUUCCAGACGGACCCUGUCCCCGAAGUUGUUGUGUCAGUCCCUCAUGAGCCAAACAUCCAUGUGAUUUUUUCCAGGACUGAUCAGGUGACAAAAUAUGAUCACAACACUGAAGAUUUCAAAGAGCAGAGACUAUCUGGCUCAUCAUGGAGCCCAAACCCUAUCUUUGGAGAAGGUCUCCAUGUGUCAAAUGACACUUGUAUCAGUGUCUCACCCAGUGUCUCACCCAGUGUCUCACCCACAGUCAGCCCGGGCCUAGUGACAGUGACCACUGAAAGUGAGAAUGAAAAGGAAUUGCCAGAGAAAGAGAAGGAAUUGCCUGAGAAAGAGCAAGAAAUGCCAGAGAAGGGCACUGAAAGUGUUUAUGAGACACAUGAAGAGAAAGAUAAUGUCAAAGAAGAGAAUAAACCAUGGCCUGCUUUAAAUGUGAGUGCAGAGAUAUUUGCUGCUGUGGAAGAGAGAAUUGAAACAAGUGAUUUUAAAACACAAGAACAGCCCACUCUUACUUCGGAUCAUAAUGUUAAUACACAAGAUUUUAUAUCACUAGACAAGUAUGUUGAUGCUUUGCAAGAGAACGUAGAGACAAUUUCGUCAAAAGUACACAUAGAAUACAUCCCCGUUUUAGAGGGUGGAGAAAAGAUAAAAAAUGAGAGCCUGGAAGCAUCUUCUCCUACUUCGCCUCAAGAAACUUUUAAAAGUACAGAUGUAAAAAUACCAGAGGCAAGUCCUUCUAUGACAGCAGAGUGCAUAGAGGACCAUGACCUCAACACAAAACUUGCGGCAAAUUCAAAGGAAAGUAUUGAAAGUGCCUUUAAAGUUGAAUGCAUUCCUCCUUUAAAGAAAGAUUCAGUGAACUGUUCCUUUGGCACAAUGACAAUACAAGAACAGGUCACACCUCAUGUGUUGAAACAGUCUAUGGAACAAAAUGUGAGCUUGGAGAGAAAGGAAGUGUGGACCCACACUAUUGACAGACAGAUUGAAAUAGAAGAAACAGUGAAAGAAAUAAAGGAGGGUGAAUCGAAAAUCCAACAAGAGCCACAGUUUGAGAGAGACUCUGCCCUUGUGUCCACGGUAAAACCAGUAACUAGCCAAGAGGCUGAUGACAUCUAUCUGGGCGGGUCCUUUGGAAAUUUACCAGAGAUAACAGUCAUGGAUCCUGCUCUUAAAAUCCCAGAUCUCAAAUUAAGUCUGCCAGAACAACAGAUAAAAGAAGAAGAAAUUAUUAUACCAAAUAUAGAAAUUACGGAACCCGAAGUCAAAGAUCAUAUACAGCCAUUAUUACUUAUCAGACCUAAUGAAUCUCAAAAUGGGGUUGCAAACAAGCUGUCUAACACAAUGAUCACCGAAAAUAGUGCAUCUGUCAUCCCUGUGUUUAUAGAUGUAACACCCACACAAGAAAGUAUGUGGAACGAUGAUAUCCUCCAUCCAAUGGAGAAAGUGCAGGAAGUUACACAAUCAUUUGAAGAGGCAAAAACACCCAAAGCAGAGCAACCAACAGUGAUAAAGAGUGAGUGUCUCACAAUGAAAGACACUAAGUUAAUUCCUACAAUAAAUGUUUCCUUUACUGAAGACAGUCAACAUAUAAAAAAAGACAAUGAACACCCUCAUGUCAAGUCCACAGUUUUAGACACAGUAAAGAGAGAGGAAGCUCUCAAAUUACCUCUCAUUGUCACCCUUCCUAUUUCUGCAAUCUGUGAAAAUAGCCUUUCUGAAAGCUCAGAACUUCCUAAAAAUGAAUAUAAAGAUUCUGAUUCAGUGAGGCCUAUGCAAGGGGGGGUCAAAAGUGAUUUUGAGUAUUACAUUACCGUUGAGCCAGACAAAUCCCCUAGUAUUCCACAGAAACAGACUACAGAAACAAAAGAAAAGAGUGUGACAGCUUUGUCGCCAAAAGAAGUAGCAACAGUAAUCCACAAAGCUGAGGACACCGGCGUUACUGAAACUGAUAAGGUGAAACCACUCAAAGAGUCAAGGAUAGAGUCUUACAUCAUAGGCGAUGAACCAAGAGAAAGAACCUCGAUUGAGAGGCUGGCUGUCAAACCUCCAACACCCCCCAGGAGUCCUAGCAGCCUCCGCCGGUUGAUGUCCCGGACUCCCCCGGCAAUUACAGUAGACGACCUAGCUAACAACGAGAAGGCGGGCUCAGAGCCGAGUGGUGGAGACACACCCACAUCCUCCCUGUCAUGUGAGAGCAGCCCCAGGCUGAAAAGGAGGGACAGCCUGACCCUCAUCCGCUCCGCCACACCUGAGGAGCUGGCCUCUGGAGCUCGACGCAAGAUCUUCAUCCCCCGGGAGGGAGAAGGGGUGGGGGUUGUGGUGGCGUUAGGUGUGGGUGGUAGUCCACUGGACACCCAGGUCAAGAAAGAGGCUCCCUACAUGUCGCCCAAUCAAGCUCGUAGGGCAGCGUUCCUGCAGGCCCCAGCAGGCUCACAGACCCCACCGCUGGAGAGGCGCUCCCCUCUGCUGGGCCGUAAGAAGGCCACCCUGGAGGUUCCCAAAGUUGGGGACCAGGCCAGCACAGAGGAACCAGAGAGCCCCAAGACUGAGAUCAAACCUGCCGAGAAGGAGAAAUUGAACCCCUUCAAAGGUAAACAUUUCAAAGCAUGCCCAAAACUGUUCUAUUAG
rnacentral:lncRNA from 1 species